UCUUCUUUGUUUUCCUUCUCCCUCUGCUCUGGCGAUUUUGAGUGAUGAUUCUGAUGUUAUGAAAUUGAAAGGAAAACUUAGGGGAAACUUUAAGAACUGAUUGAAGGUGUUAUUGCUGGUGUUAAUUUAACACGGGAAGGAGAAUAUAGAGUUGUUACUUUAAUCAGGAAGAUAGGGUUUUAGCUUGGGUUUCUUCAUAGAAGAAUUGAGCAAUUAAAGAUGGAUUUGAGUGGUUGUUGGAUGAAGAACGACUAGGUCGCUGUUUGAUUGAAGUUAUGAAGUUGUUUUGGAGAUGAUCAAAGAGUUAGGGUUUCUCAGAGAUUGAAUUAGGGUUUGUGAGAAAAGCUAAGGAAGAUGAAUUGAAGGUUUAGAGGUCUGUAUGGAGAUGGGUUUGUUUCGAAUUAAGAGUUAAGGUUUGAUUUUGAAGCUGAGAUCGAUUAGAGAUCGUGACCGAAGUUGUUAACAUAUUUUGGGUUUGAUUAUGAUUAUAAGAGGGUGAUGGAAAUAUUAUGAGUUUGGAAUUGGUUGGUGCUGGAGCAGAAUUAAUCUGAGGUAAUUAAUCUUCUCUGUGAUUUUAGAUAAGUUAAUUAUUUCAAGUUGUUGAAUUUAUAGAAUGGUUGUUAAGCUAAGAAUUGAAAUGAUUAUGGAGAGAUUGUUAUGGAACUGUGGUUCGUGGUCUAGACUUAUGUUGAAGUUACAGAGUUUCAAUGGGUUUCUGAGUCUGUGAUAGAGAAGGCAGUGGCUUCUCUGGUGGUGGUGUUGUGUUGCUGAUGGCACUGACUUAGUGAUACUGAGUUUAGUAAUUUAGAGUUGAAGUUGCAGGGGAUAUGAGUGAUGGGGAUGUAUGAAUUGUUGAUGAUGAUUAUAGUGUGGCAGGUGAAGUGUAAUUACAAUGAGAGUUGCAGAUGAGGUUUGAGUUAAGUCAGCCACGAACAAAAAUAAGAACUCUAUUAAAUUUUUGGAAUGCAAGUUGUGGUAGCAAUAGAACUGAAGUUGUAGGUGGUACAUGUUUGACUAAGUUCAGAGUUUAGAGUCGGAGUUGGUUGAGUUGGCUUGGCUGUGAACUGAUUUGGUAGUUGCUGGUGGAGAUGUAGAGUGAAGCUACAUUGGUGGUUACGAAUCUUUUGUUUGUGUAAAAGAGUAGGUUGGUAUGAAUGUUGUGUAUGGAACAAGAGUUGCAGGCAAGGAGGGUGGAUAAUGGGAGUUGUAGGAUUGUAGUUAGUCCUAGCAGUGAAAGCUUGCAACUUCUGUUGUUGCAGGUAGGCGGUGUUAUUUUUGUAAAUCAAUUUUAAGUUAUAAUUUGAAUGAAUGAAUGAAUUGUUGCAACGAA